GACGAACGCUGGCGGCGUGCCUAAUACAUGCAAGUCGAGCGGACUUGAUGAGGAGCUUGCUCCUCUGAUGGUUAGCGGCGGACGGGUGAGUAACACGUAGGCAACCUGCCUGCAAGCCUGGGAUAACUGCGGGAAACCGCAGCUAAUACCGGAUACGCAGUUGAGAUGCAUGUCUCGAUUGGGAAAGGCGGAGCAAUCUGUCGCUUGUAGAUGGGCCUGCGGCGCAUUAGCUAGUUGGUGAGGUAACGGCUAACCAAGGCGACGAUGCGUAGCCGACCUGAGAGGGUGAUCGGCCACACUGGGACUGAGACACGGCCCAGACUCCUACGGGAGACAGCAGUAGGGAAUCUUCCGCAAUGGACGCAAGUCUGACGGAGCAACGCCGCGUGAGUGAGGAAGGCCUUCGGGUCGUAAAGCUCUGUUGCCAGGGAAGAAUGUCGAGGAGAGUAACUGCUCUUCGAAUGACGGUACCUGAGAAGAAAGCCCCGGCUAACUACGUGCCAGCCGCCGCGGUAACAC
rnacentral:rRNA from 1 species